UACGUAGGGUGCAAGCGUUGUCCGGAAUUAUUGGGCGUAAAGGGCUCGUAGGCGGUCCAUCACGUCGGGAGUGAAAAGCUGGGGCUUAACCCCAGUCCUGCUUCCGAUACGGGUGGACUAGAGGUAGGCAGGGGAGAACGGAAUUCCUGGUGUAGCGGUGAAAUGCGCAGAUAUCAGGAGGAACACCGGUGGCGAAGGCGGUUCUCUGGGCCUUACCUGACGCUGAUGCGCGAAAGCCAGGGGAGCGAACGGG
rnacentral:rRNA from 1 species